rnacentral:lncRNA from 1 species
AUAAAAUUGAAUGUAGGCCAAGGUUUUUGCUUUGGCAAGAGGCUGGAAGGGGGCAGACCUCAGUGGGUGAAAUACUGGAACUGUUUUCUCUGCCCUAAACCCACUGUUAGACUAUAUAUAGGGAGUGCAUAGAGGCGGGAUUAGAAGCCAUAAAGGAUACAUCGUGAUACAUAGGUACUACAUAGGGAGACAUGGGUAAUUUCAGCAUGUUGGUGGUGUGUGUUGCUGUGAUCUUCAGUCUGGUCUCAGUGAGUCAGGCGACUCCUGUUUCUCAAACCUGUGAGACUCUUCUGAAACCUCUAGAGAUGAAAACCAUAGACCCGGAGCCAGGACUUUGGUCAAAGUCCUCAUGGAUAACAUCUGGUCAGAGUUGUCACCAGGGCCACUCCCGAACAUGUUUAAAGUAACCUUUUAUGUAAAAAUGUGGGAUGGGACAUGUUCCAGUAUCAAUAUCAGUGUUGCCCUUGAAGACAACAAGCUCAACUGGACGUACAUUUUCCCUUCUUCCGCGGUCUUCCUGCCAACUUGUCCAGACUGUCUUUUGAACCAGAUUACAACCACCAUCAAUGGAAACAACUUCAUGUCUCUGGAACUCUACAGUAAAAGAAGAGAACUCUCCGCUGCUGAACUGAUUCAGUUCAAGACACAGGUUGCCUGUCUCAACUUGCCACAGGCAGUUUUCCUCAACUCUAAGACAGAACACUGUCCAGACACCACUGCAAGGAUUCCCAUCAUGGAAGAGAAGUACAUGGAGUUCAUUCAAUCUAUGGAGACCGAACCUCUCAAGGGAUUUUUUUCAGUAACAGAUUAUCUCAUUGAGAAGGCAGAAUGCCUGGGAUGGAUUUAAAGCAGGCUCAGUUAUCCUGGUGGACUGGAGCUUUCCAAUUGAUUCAGCUAAUAAAUGUCUUGGUGAGCAUCUAAUCUCACCAAGGGAUUUACUCAAGCAGAAUCACAUGGGUUUAACUGUACUCUGAAUGAAAGGGGAGUUGGUGAAACCAUUUAGACUUUUUGUCUUCAUAAAGAACCGCUUCACUAACCUUACAAAAUGAUGUUUUCUAAUGGAACUUAACAACACCUGAUGAAGGUCUGAGAUGAACUGUAAUAUCUACAGUGGCUGUGAUACUGUAAAAAAAUCUGUAGGUUUUCAACAGGUUGUAUGAACAGUUUUAUGCAUGAAAAUGAUACUAUACAUGAUGUGACUAGAGCUUCAUUCUGUGUCCUUAAAGGCCUUUCCGAUAACUACAUUUAUAUUGUUGUUGGUAUUUAUUUCUCCUGUCUUUUCGUCCUGUUUGCCCUUCAUUGAUUUUCAAUCCCUCCCAAUCGGUCCCACCCUCCCAACUGGAGAAAGGUUAUCUCUAAUCAUCCACUGCUCAUUGGUACCAUGUCAGUGAUCAGUGGAUUAACCCAAUCAGUUACAACCUCCACUGUCAGACAAUCUUUCACAGUAUUUGAUCAUGUCAUUGUCUCCUUCUGGAAUGCAUCCCUCCAUUCUGCCAUGGGUCUUCCUGGGUGUUUUUCCCUGUGUGUAUCAUAUGUGCAGAUACUGACCCAAAGAUUGUCUCUCCUAUUGCCUGACUCUGGUCCUCCAGGUCUUCCAGAACUACAGUCGUAGAUACAAUUACACCUUGAUGAUACGAUUUGACAACCGUUGCUUUACUUUGAGAAAUUAGCCAGCGAUGGAUUUAGGCAGUACAUACAGAAUCUCACAAAAGUGAGUACACCCCUCACAUUUUUGUAAAUAUUUUAGUAUAUCUUUUCAUGUGACAACACUGAAGAAAUGAUGCUUUGCUACAAUGUAAAGUAGUGAGUGUACAGCUUGUAUAAAAGUGUAAAUUAGCUGUCCCCUCAAAAUAACUACACAAACAGCCAUUGAGUACACCCCUAAGUGAAAAUGUCUAAAUUGGGCCCAAUAAGCCAUUUUCCCUCCCCGGUGUCAUGUGACUCGUUAGGUGUGAAUGGGGAGCAGGUGUGUUAAAUGUGGUGUCAUCGCUCUCACACUUUCUUCAGUGUUGUCACAUGAAAAGAUAUAAUCAAAUAUUUACAAAAAUGUGAGAUACUGUACCUUUUUUGAUGAUAUGGUGAUAGAUUUAUGAUGUUACGAACGUGCCCCAAAAACAAAACUGAUGGUGAGAUACUGUAUAAUGUAAUGACAAUAAUUAAGAUGCAACGAAUAUUGCAAAAUACUCUAUAUCUAUAUAUAUUUUGUUGCAUUCUCAAAUCAUAAGUGUAUGCACCAAAACAAUAUUAUAAUGCGAAAAGUGCUAUAAAAAACAUUCAAC